rnacentral:rRNA from 1 species
ACUCCUACGGGAGGCAGCAGCAGGGAAUAUUGCACAAUGGACGGAAGUCUGAUGCAGCGACGCCGCGUGGACGAAGAAGGCCUUCGGGUUGUAAAGUCCUUUUCAGGGGGAAGAGAGAGGACGGUACCCUUGGAAUAAGCGUCGGCUAACUACGUGCCAGCAGCCGCGGUAAGACGUAGGACGCGAGCGUUAUCCGGAUUUACUGGGCGCAAAGCGUCUGUAGGCGGGACAGUAAGUUGGGCGUGAAAGCUUCGGGCUUAACCCGGAGAGGACGUACAAGACUGCUGAACUAGAGGCCACCAGAGGGGCGUGGAAUUUCCGGUGUAGCGGUAAAAUGCGCAGAUAUCGGAAGGAACACCAGUGGCGAAGGCGGCGCCCUGGGGUGGGCCUGACGCUAAGAGACGAAAGCUAGGGGAGCGAACAGGAUUAGAUACCCUGGUAGUC